ensembl:lncRNA
CCCUCCCUCCCUCCCUCCCUCCAUCUCUGUGACCUUUCUCUUCCACCUCCUUACCCGUCUCCCUCACACUCAGCAAGACAACACAUUUAGAUAACGUUAUAGCUGGCUAGAGCAUUACUAGAUUUGCUGACACUUUGAGCUAAUGUCCGAUGUGGACGGUCAGCACACUAGCCCAGCGUUCGGACUGGAGUCUGAGGGUCCGUUGCUUCUGCUGUAGCAUUAUCGUAUCAGGGAUAUGCGUGGAAUGAUCAGGGAUUGCUUCUAUCUCAUCCUACAUUGCCAUUUUGCCACCUGGCUGUUGUGAAUGGGAAUAGCCAUAGAAAUAGGUAGAGAGCCCACCUCCUAUCUAUAGCCAUGGCUUCUUCUGUGAUAGCAUGGGCAGUGCCAUUGCCACUCUAUCCAACUAUGUGGGAUCUCUAUGGGGAAAAGCCAGUCGAGUGACUUUUGUCAUAAUAAGCUACAGUAGAGGGAGGGAGGGAGGGAGAGAGGGAGAGAGGGAGAGAGGGAGGGAGGAGAGAGAGAGAGAGAGAGAGAGAGAGAGAGAGAGAGAGAGAGAGAGCGAGAGAGAGAGAGAGAGAGAGAGAGGUCUGCUGACCAGACAUAUAUGUGUGUCUGUCACAGUGGAAGCUGCUGAGGGGAGGAUGGCUCAUGAUAAUGGCUGGAUAGGAGUGAGUGGAAGGGCAUCAAACACAUGGAAACCAUGGAAACCAUGUAUUUGGUGUAUGUGAUACCGUUCCACUGAUUCCACUCCAGCCAUUCCCACAAGCCUGUCCUCCCCAAUUAAGAUGCCACCAACCUCCUGUGGUCUGUCACAAAAUGAGGUGUGUUGGUGUCAGUCAGUCACAAGGCAUUCACAUGGCUCGCUCACUUGUUUCAGGGAGGAGUUUCCAUUUCCUAGGUAAUCCCAAUCUUUACAUAACCUUUGACCUUUCAACUGAUGAGUUGGAACCAGGAAUGUCUGUCUGCUCCACAGAUCCUAACCCAGUGAUAAGAAGUGGUUGUAAAGACAUAUUUUCAAGCACUCUUCUUCACUGGGGAGGAUGUAGUUCUCACUGUAAGUUUACAACUGGUCCUGUAUUUACUUCUAUCUAUCUAUCACCCUGUCCAAGGUGUACAAAUUGUGUGAUCGCAUGAAAAGGCUGCAUGAGUUAUAUAGAAGGUGGAAUAUAUACUAUAGCUUUGACCAACCAUGAGAACUGUUGUUGACUAGCCCCUAUAUGAGACAUCCAACAGACUGAUGGAGGUGUUUGAUGGCUUGUCCUACUCUCUUUGUCUACAGAAAUCUAUUAUAUUUUAGAACACAACGCACUAGAACUCGUUGCAUCUGUGUGCAGUUACAGUGUUCUGCCACCGGAUGUCAGUGACGAGCCGCUCUGUUCUACUUGCUUUGGACGACCCUGGCCCUGUCUGAAUACCCAUUCUAGUGUACGUACUUAAACUGCGUAAUAUGUACUCAUCGUCGCGUACCAGUGAUAGAAAAAGUACUUAAUUGUCACACUUGAGUAAAAGUAUAAGGUACCUUAAUAGAAAAUGUGAAAAUCACUCAGUAAAAUACUACUUUUGUAAAAGUCUAAAAGUAUUUGGUUUUAAAUAUACUUAAGUACCAAAAGUAAAUGUAAUUGCUAAAAUAUAGUAAGUAUGAAAAGUAAAAGUCUAAAUAAUUUCAAAUUCCUUACAUUAAGCAAACCAGACGACACCAUUUAAAUGAUUUAUUUACAGAUAGUCAGGGGCACAUAGGCUGAGUGUAGGUGGAUUUUUCCAAAUUCAACAGACAUUCACGACAUUAACCAACCUGAUAAUAGCUCAUUUACCAUUUGAAUAAAUUCUCUAUACCAUGAAAAGAAUAGGAAUGGAGUCAGGCUGGUUACAGACAGACUAUCACAUUCCACGUCUAGUAUAUCCCAUCUGUCCUAUUUAAACAGGACUGAAGACAGAAACACAUUAUUUCUUCAAUUUCAACAUAUUUCUAGUGAAACCAAAGUGCCGUAACAUAAAUCAAUUCUAUCAAAUAGCCUAGUACACACAGCAACACUUGUAAUAUGUUCACAUCAAAAAGGCUACUGCACAGAAACACGUGGACAAAAUUCAGAACCGCUGAACAGCAACAUAAUGAACUAAAGCGCCGACCAAUAGGAACGAGAUCAGAAUGACUGCUAAGGCUUGAUCCGUAAAUUAAAUAAUGAAAUAGGUAGCCUAACCUACAGAUCUAAAACAAUCCCCAUCUUAAAAUCAAAAGGCCUGAUUAACAUAACAGCAAUAACGCAGCCACAUCCCGAGUCUCGGGUGCUGACUCGCUAUUUGGCAUCUUCCCAAUUAAGUAGCCUAGUUUUGUUGUUUGGCUACUUGAAGUGUACUUGGGCCUAUCACUGGCAGCUCUCCUCUUCUAAUGGAUUGUGGAAGUGUGCAUCGAAUUCUACUAGAUGAAGACCCGAAAUGGGACAAACAUCCUGGUAUUGAGCUCGCCUUAGGACACCUGCGUUACCGUUUGACAGGUGUACCGCCCCAGUCAAACUCCCCACCUGCCACUGUCCCCGGAGCGGGUCAACCAUACUCGAUUUUCAGACAAACGCACAUAGGCUACUAUAAAAUACAUUUUCACAUACUGAGAAUGCCUCAUGUGCGAUUAAGUAGUGUCCCGCUAUUUGUUGAUGUCUGUAGGUAACUCCUCCCCAUAUCUAACUGAUCAGCUGUUGUCAAAACCGAAAUGAGUAUGACAUCCUGGCACUUCGUUUUUCCAAAUGUCGCAUACUAUUAAACUUUUUUUCCACAAACGGUCUACUAUGGGUAUUCGGACAAAACCUCAUGUCUCUCCACAUCUCUGCUCUUUCUCCUGUACCAGUAGUGGGGGGUACUCUCUCCUGUACCAGUAGUGGAGGGAACUCUCUCCUGUACCAGUAGUGGAGGGAACUCUCUCCUGUACCAGUAGUGGGGGAACUCUCUCUCCUGUACCAGUAGGGGGGAACUCUCUCCUGUACCAGUAGUGGAGGGAACUCUCUCCUGUACCAGUAGUGGGGGAACUCUCUCCUGUACCAGUAGUGGGGGAACUCUCUCCUGUACCAGUAGUGGAGGGAACUCUCUUCUGUACCAGUAGUGGGGGAACUCUCUCCUGUACCAGUAGUGGAGGGAACUCUCUCCUGUACCAGUAGUGGAGGGAACUCUCUCCUGUACCAGUAGGGGGUACUCUCUCCUGUACCAGUAGUGGGGGAACUCUCUCCUGUACCAGUAGUGGGGAACUCUCUCUCCUGUACCAGUAGUGGGGGGAACUCUCUCCUGUACCAGUAGUGGGGGAACUCUCUCCUGUACCAGUAGUGGAGGGAACUUUCUCUCCUGUACCAGUAGUGGGGGAACUCUCUCCUGUACCAGUAGUGGAGGGAACUCUCUCCUGUACCAGUAGUGGAGGGAACUCUCUCUCCUGUACCAGUAGUGGGGAACUCUCUCUCCUGUACCAGUAGUGGAGGGAACUUUCUCUCCUGUACCAGUAGUGGAGGGAACUCUCUCUCCUUUACCAGUAGUGGGGAACUCUCUCUCCUGUACUAGUAGUGGGGGAACUCUCUCUCCUGUACCAGUAGUGGGGGUACUCUCUCCUGUACCAGUAGUGGGGCUACUCUCUCUCCUGUACCAGUAGUGGGGGUACUCUCUCCUGUACCAGUAGUGGAGGGAACUCUCUCUCCUGUACCAGUAGUGGGGGAACUCUCUCUCCUGUACCAGUAGUGGGGGAACUCUCUCCUGUACCAGUAGUGGGGGAACUCUCUCUCCUGUACCAGUAGUGGGGGAACUCUCUCCUGUACCAGUAGUGGGGGAACUCUCUCUCCUGUACCAGUAGUGGAGGGAACUCUCUCCUGUACCAGUAGUGGGGGGAACUCUCUCUCCUGUACCAGUAGUGGGGGGAACUCUCUCUCCUGUACCAGUAGUGGAGGGAACUCUCUCCUGUACCAGUAGUGGGGGAACUCUCUCUCCUGUACCAGUAGUGGAGGGAACUCUCUCCUGUACCAGUAGUGGGGGGAACUCUCUCCUGUACUAGUAGUGGGGGGAACUCUCUCUCCUGUACCAGUAGUGGAGGGAACUCUCUCCUGUACCAGUAGUGGGGGGAACUCUCUCCUGUACCAGUAGUGAAGGGAACUCUCUCUCCCCUCCUCUCUCUUCUUCUUUUGUAGAAUGUUAAGGAAUAUAUUUUAAUGUUUUUAUUUAAGGAAGGUGUGCAUACUUUUAAAUGUAUUACUUUCAAUUCAAUUGAUUGUUUUUCUUUUUUUCCUGAAUAGAUAUGCAACACUGAAAGGUUAGAGGACAGCUUUGGCUUAUUGUUUUGACAGUCUGACAUUUUUAUAUCAUUUCAUGUAGGCUAUAUAGUGUUGCCUUGGCCUGUUAUUCUUACAAGCACACUGAUACACACACACACACACACACACACACACACACACACACACACACACACACACACACACACACACACACACACACACACACACACACACACACACACACACACAUGCAUGGGGUACAUGUGGUCUGUGACUACAGUGUGGUUGUGUGUGUGUGUGUGUAUGAGUGUAAGGAAUGUAUAAUGAUAGACCCAACCAGACUCUGGAGACACUAGAUGCGUCCCAAAAAGGAACCCCAGUCACUAUAUAGCUCCCUACGUUUGACCUGGACACAUAGUUCUUCCUAGUGCACUAUGUAGCAAAUAAGGUUCCUUUUAGGGACGUGGACACUAUCUGUGUUAUUUUCCACCAAUGUUAUUGUUUUAAUGAGGAGUCUAUUGUCUUCGUGUUCUUUUCGGAUGAUAAGUCUUCCUUUUGAAUAACCAUCCAUAUCACAUGGGAACACUACAGCUAAUGAUGUCAUCAAGGCCUGACUGCACUAUGGUGAUGAUGUCAUAAUGCUGAGUUCCGUCUCCGUUGGCUGUUCUAAUCUGUUCAUACAGCAUUAGCUUUUUUGUUACUAUACCGAUUCAGUUGUUGACUUCAAAUAAACGUGCAUUUGGGUUAA